rnacentral:lncRNA from 1 species
AUGCAGCUUCUUAAUUCUUCACUUUCUGCCAUCAGAGUGGUAUCCUUUGCAUAUCUGAAAUUGUUGAUACUUCUGACAUCCUUAACUCCAGCUUUUGAUUUAUCCAGCCUGUUUGGCCUUCUAUCUUCUAUCUAUAAUCAUCUGAUCCCUAUUAAUGGAGCCAUGUCUGCUUGCAAGCGGAAAAAGGAAAGAAAAGAAAAGUUAAAUACCCCAUCUUGAUCUCGGCCCAGAUGUUGUGACGUCACCUAGAUGGAGCCAAAGAUUUGUUUCACUCAUGCACAGGCUGCGUAUGUAAAUUCUCCUAAAUUAGAUUGAUUAAGUCAGAUUCUGCCCUAUUAUUCCCCUACACUCUGGCAAAGAUUAUAUUAAACAUGUUCAAAUAUAUUACUGAACCGUCCAAG